rnacentral:miRNA from 1 species
AAAACUAGAAUGAACUUUUUGG